rnacentral:misc_RNA from 1 species
ACUACAUCAGCUGCCGCUUUUCGACUUUUCCUGUUAUCAUGGAAGUACUUCCGGCGCUGGAUUGUAGGCGCUGGAUUCACCAUCGGGCCCAAUAAAGCAACUGCAGCGGUCACCGUCUAUAUGUUUCUAGCCACGCGGUUCUUGGUCCACCUCAGUGAUUCCCCCAUAUUCCAUAGCUGAGCUCAAGUCGCAACAUCGAAUAGCCAACCAAACCGAGGCAAGCGAAAUGGGAGAAGAAGACGGCGCUCUUCUACUUUCUGGCACACAAGAAAAUACGAAUACACGGCACCGACAGCGUCAAUUCAACUGUCGAGGUAGUUUAAUCAGAGAAAUAUGGCUCGAAUCCAAGAAUUUCUGGCAGAUUGCCGGUCCCUCUAUUUUCGCUCGCCUUGCCAUGUUCUCCAUGACCGUUAUUACUCAAGCAUUCGCUGGCCACCUCGGUGAUCUCAAUCUCGCCGCCAUUUCCAUCGCCACCACUGUAAUCAUCUCCAUUAGUUUUGGCUUCCUGUGCUCUAGCUGGGCAUGGCGAGUGCGUUGGAAACGCUAUGUGGCCAAGCUUAUGGAGCCGGGCAGUACCAAAUGCUAGGCAUAUAUAUGCAACGUUCGUGGAUUGUCUUGUUUUAUGUUCUAUUUUGUUACUACCCAUGUUCUUGUUCGCAACCCCAAUAUUGAAGUUGAUUGAACAGCCUGCAGAGGUUGCUGAGCAGACAGGUUUGGUGGCAAUAUGGUUAAUACCAUUUCAUCUUAGCUUCCCUUUUCAGUUCACAUUACAAAGGUUCUUGCAGAGCCAGCUAAAGACAGGGGUUGUUGCUUGGGUAUGUGGGGCCGCUCUUCUGAUCCAUGUGUUUGUGAGUUGGUUUUUGGUUUAUUGGUUGAGAGCUGGGAUUGUUGCCACUGCUAUUACUCUUGAUUUCUCUUGGUGGGUUUCUGUUUUGGGGAUGUUUGGGUAUUGUGUUUGUGGCGGGUGUCCACUUUCUUGGACUGGUUUCUCUACACAGGCUUUUGUUGGACUUUGGCCGUUCUUUAAACUCUCUUUGGCAUCUGGGGUCAUGCUUGUGUAUGUGUGAUUAUUUCUCUUAUUUAUUUACUAAUUCGAUUUUUAAAUUGAUCUAGAACUUAAAGUGAUCAAAUUUGAAUAUUGUAAUGUUGAAGGUUGGAGAACUUUUACUACAGAGUGUUGAUUAUCGUAUCUGGGUAUAUGCACAACAAUGAGGUUGCAGUUGAUGCCCUUUCCAUCUGGUUGGUUAUUAUUUCACAAUCCUGUGGCAUUUUUUAACCUCAAUUUUUGGGUUGAAGAAUUUUAUUAUGAUCACAUAUUUUGGCAUGAAUUUUACUUUGCUUGGCAGCAUAAGUAUCUAUGCCUGGGAAUCUAUGAUUCCACUUGGAUUUUUGGCUGCAGCUGGGUACGUUACUGUUGUAAGUCUCUUCCCAUUUCUAUUCUAUUUGGAAAGCAAAACAUUAUAUGGUCAAUAAAUAACAAAGAAGGCAUUAUGUGAUAAGAAAGAGAUGUUGGAAACUGGAACGAACUUUUUCAUGCCCAAGUAGAAAUGAAUAUCAUUUACCUUUUUCCACACUUUUAAUGCCUAAGUGGAAGGAUUACAUUGUUCUUUAAAUAGAUAAAUUUCAAAAGCAUGCCUUUUACAAAAAAACCUACAUGUUGGCUAUACGGUUUGUGAUUACUAGCUCAUUUGUUUAAAGAAAUUGAUAUUCAUUUCUCUUUCAUUUACAAGCAAAUAUAAUAGCAUCUCUUUCCUUGCCAUUUUAUCAAGUCUAUUAAUUAGGUGUGUGCUAUCUUUCUUCACGUCUCAUGAGAUUCUCAUGGAUUUGAAUAAUUGUCUUAUAGUUGGUGAAUAGUGAUAUAAGAUACUCUAAGCUGCUUUGAUUGUAACAAGCAUCUCUAUUAUGGGAGAGAUAAUCUACAAAUGCAGUUGGGUUAAACCAUACAUGAAAAGUGCAAUCUCAAAUCAGCCUCGCGACUCUUUCAUUAAAAUGUAGCAGAAUUUUUUUUAUAUAUACAUCAAAUCACUCAAAUUGCAUCAUAUCUGGAAUGAUUUUGUUUAAAGCCCCCUUUUUUUGGUUCCAACUGUACUUGAACAGUCAGUUUCCGUAAUCUAUAUGUCCAAGGACCACUUUCAUUUUGAUUCUAUAUUUGCUUUCAUUUUAAGUUUGUUUAGUUAGUAUGCCAUGUGUAUUAGGUAUCAGAUUAUCAUUUGGGAGUUGUAUGUAGAGUUGAUGGAAAAUUGGAACAAACAAUUACUUAAAAGCAGUUGAAUGAUAUAAUUAUCCUUUUUCCUGUUUUCUCCUAUUGUUCUUGUGGGUUUAUGAUAAUUCAUUGAGGAACACGUAAUUCAUCAUUUUAUAAGCUAUGCUUCUGUGACAAAUUCAUGUUAUUGUCCUUCACUUUAGAGUUUCUAAUCAUCUAAUAAUUACAGGGUGCGUGUUGCAAAUGAGCUUGGCGCAGGUAAUGCUAAAGGUGCCAAAUUUGCAACCACAGUGUCAGUAUUGACCUCCCUAGUGAUUGGAUUCCUGUUUUGGCUAAUCAUCAUAGCUUUCCCUGAAAAGCUUUCAAUGAUCUUUACCUCAAGCUCCUCUGUUAUUUCAAUGGUUAAAGAGUUAGCAGUUUUACUGGCAUUCACCGUUCUCCUCAAUUGCAUUCAACCAGUUCUUUCAGGUGUUGAACAAUCCAAGAAAUUGUUAUAUAGAAUUGUGAAAUUUAAUCCCACUGCAUGGUAUUACUGCCAUAUAUUGUGGCUUCAAACUCCUUCGGUGCACUGAAGCUAGACUACUAAUCCAAUUAAACAGACUCUCUCUAGCCAUAAACCAAUCAUCUUUUGCAGGCGUGGCAAUUGGAUCUCGCUGGCAAUCAUUGGUAGCAUUUAUAAACAUUGGCAGCUAUUACAUAGUUGGGGUGCCUCUUGGGGCCUGGUUGGGAUGGCUGCUCCGCCUUGGUUUUACUGGUAUUUGGGCUGGAAUGCUUAUUGGAACUGUGGUUCAAACAUUGAUACUGACCAUCAUCACCAUGAAAUGCGAAUGGGAAAAAGAGGCAGAGAAAGCUCGACUCCACAUAACUAAAGAAACAGGCAAUAUUGAGUACACGAAUGCUUUCAUUUUUCACUCAUGAAUGGUCAUUGCAAGACCCCAGUCACCAUAUGAAAAAUAAUGAAGUAUGGGACUCAUCUCCAAACUUCUCUACUAAAUACCAUGUGAGAUACAGUAUCAUUUUUUUUCCUUUUCAAUCAAUUUGCAGCAUCUAAAAUGCCUUUGAUGCUUGUGUUGUGAUGAUGGGGAAGAUGACAAGUGAGCAUUGUAUUUCUAUAUUAUUUGUUUGUUUGUUUAUGUUUACUUUUUCAAUGCAUAUUAAAUAGGGGUAUAUUAGUAAAUUAAUAAAUAAACUAUUAUUUCAAAAUGUAAAGUGGCUUAUAAU